GAAAAGUUUAGGUGGUCUCAGGUGAAGUACACGCGCGUGGGCUUCAGUUACUGUGGAAGGGCCCGUACCAGAUCAUAUCAGUUAGUAAUAUAAACAAACUAAUUGAUCCGUUACAGAGUUGAGAGUCGUCUUCUUUCUUGUUGAUCAUCUUCUUCUUCUUUCUCCUGUAAAAUUAAUCUGUAACAGAGAGAAAGAGAGAUACAAGAGAGAUAGAAGGUCCUGUAGUCACAUCAUCGAAGGGAUUGCUGAAGACCGUACGUGUG